rnacentral:rRNA from 1 species
GUGGGGAAUCUUCCGCAAUGGACGAAAGUCUGACGGAGCAACGCCGCGUGAGUGAAGAAGGUUUUCGGAUCGUAAAGCUCUUUCGUUAGGGACGAACGUGCUCUUUGUAAAUAAUGAGGAGUAAUGACGGUACCUAAAUAAGAAGCCACGGCUAACUACGUGCCAGCAGCCGCGGUAAUACGUAGGUGGCAAGCGUUGUCCGGAAUUAUUGGGCGUAAAGCGCGCGCAGGCGGGAUAUCAAGUCUGUCUUAAAAGUGCGAGGCUCAACCUCGUGAGGGGACAGAAACUGGUAUUCUUGAGUGUCGGAGAGGAAAGUGGAAUUCCAAGUGUAGCGGUGAAAUGCGUAGAGAUUUGGAAGAACACCAGUGGCGAAGGCGACUUUCUGGACGAUGUCUGACGCUGAGGCGCGAAAGCUAGGGGAGCGAACGGGAUUAGAAACCCCAGUAGUCC